rnacentral:misc_RNA from 1 species
AAUUAACUGUGUGUUAAGUUUAAUUAAGAAGUUAAUUAGCAACAAAAAGAGAUAAUUAUGGGUUCUCUUAUGGCAGGUUGGGACUCUCCUGUUUCUGAUCCUCAAGCUAUGAAAUUACGAACAAAUAAGUCAUUAACAAAGAAAGAGAUAGAUGCAUAUUGGAGAUCAAAAAAACUAAUUGAAGAAGAGCAUCAAAAAUAUAUCUCUACGUUAUCCCCUCGAAGCCAAAAACAGGCGAAUAUUGUAUUUGAGGAGGCAACUAAAACAGCGGAAGAAAGUCUUUCUAAUUUGGAAAAUGAGGAAAGUUUGGAUCAACUAAUCAGGAAAAAUGGAUGGUGGAUAAGUAGCAAUUGGGCACAUUUAAAUGAGCCACCAGUAGAAGUACGAGAAGGUCCAGCUUACAAAUACGUGUCACAAUUUCACGUAGCCAACAUGGCUACUGGGUCCAACACUAAACCCGGUCCAGCCGGAAUCAACGCUUGAACCGUCGUUUGGCUUUAGACCGGUUUGCUAAUAAGUACUAGUAUAGUACUUUUUUUAGGUUAAUUUUAAUUUUUUUUUAUGACAAAUUACUUUUAAUUUUAUUUGCGAAAGUAUUUGUAUUUGAGUUGAUAUUUAGAGUUUGCGUUAAGAGAUGUCGAUACUUGUAAUGUUG